CCUACGGGAGGCAGCAGUGGGGAAUAUUGCACAAUGGGGGAAACCCUGAUGCAGCGACGCCGCGUGAGUGAAGAAGUAUUUCGGUAUGUAAAGCUCUAUCAGCAGGGAAGAUAAUGACGGUACCUGACUAAGAAGCCCCGGCUAACUACGUGCCAGCAGCCGCGGUAAUACGUAGGGGGCAAGCGUUAUCCGGAUUUACUGGGUGUAAAGGGAGCGUAGGUGGCAGGGCAAGUCAGAUGUGAAAACCCGGGGCUCAACCCCGGGAGUGCAUUUGAAACUGUCCAGCUGGAGUGCAGGAGAGGUAAGCGGAAUUCCUAGUGUAGCGGUGAAAUGCAUAGAUAUUAGGAGGAACACCAGUGGCGAAGGCGGCUUACUGGACUGUAACUGACACUGAGGCUCGAAAGCGUGGGGAGCAAACAGGAUUAGAUACCCCAGUAGUC
rnacentral:rRNA from 1 species